rnacentral:rRNA from 1 species
AACAGGAUUAGAUACCCUGGUAGUCCACGCCGUAAACGAUGAGUGCUAGGUGUUGGGGGUUUCCGCCCUCUGUGCCGAAGGUAACCCAAUAAGCACUCCGCCUGGGGAGUACGGCCGCAAGGCUGAAACUCAAAGGAAUUGACGGGGGCCCGCACAAGCGGUGGAGCAUGUGGUUUAAUUCGAAGCAACGCGAAGAACCUUACCAGGUCUUGACAUCCCGCUGAUCGGUGUAGAGAUAUGCCUUUCCUUCGGGACAGCGGUGACAGGUGGUGCGUGGUUGUCGUCAGCUCGUGUCGUGAGAUGUUGGGUUCAGUCCCGCAACGAGCGCAACCCUUGUCGUCAGUUGCCAGCACGUAGAGGUGGGCACUCUGGCGAGACGGCCGGUGAAAGCCGGAGGAAGGUGGGGAUGACGUCAAAUCAUCAUGCCCCUUAUGACCUGGGCUACACACGUGCUACAAUGGCCGGUACAACGGGUAGCGAACCCGCGAGGGGGAGCCAAUCCAAAAAACCGGUCUCAGUUCGGAUCGCAGGCUGCAACUCGCCUGCGUGAAGCUGGAAUCGCUAGUAAUCGCGGAUCAGCAUGCCGCGGUGAAUCCGUUCCCGGGCCUUGUACACACCGCCCGUCACACCACGAGAGUCUGCAACACCCGAAGUCGGUGAGGUAACCUUCGGGAACCAGCCGCCGAAGGUGGGGCAGAUGAUUGGGGUGAAGUCGUAACAAGGUAACC